ACAAAAAUAAUAAUUAAUAAAAUUUCUGUUUAAUAAUGUUAUAUGGCUGGCGUGAGUCACGUGACCAUACCGUCACGUGACCAUUCCGUCUCUUCCUCACGCCAGAGCGCACAGCCGGUCACAACAAGCUGCAAGCAAGCACCCACAUUUUCUUCAUGGCCGAGCGAGUGGUGCAGAGCUUUUAGGACAUACAUAUUGAUUGGGAGAAACGGACUAACACUGACAUGCUUCGUAAGGACAGGAGGCGGAAGCAGCGACAGAAAGAGCUAUGUGAGGCAGCUAAAGGCAGUGGGUCCCUCACCAGCUGGAUAAAAGAGUGCAGUCUGAGAUCAACACAGCCUUGCCCUCCAGCAUCAUCAGCAGCAGCAAGAGGAGCAACCCUGCAACAGCUACAUUGUGCCCCAUCAUCAGGUAAAAUAGGACAGCAAUAGAUCAGGAGGUGGAGCAGGUUGUCCAGUAAUCGGAACGUUGCAGGUUUGAUCCUGACUUCAAUCAGAGAUUGAUGCUGUUGAGUCCUUGGGCAAGACACUUAACCUGCUUAGCCUGCUGGUGGUGGUCGGAGGGACUAGUGGCGCCUGUGCUCAGCAGCUUCACCUCUGUCAGUGCGCUCCAGAGCAGCUAUGGCUACAUCAUAGCUCAUCACCAUCAGUGUGUUAAUGUGUGUGUGUGAAUGACUGAUUGUGUUGUAAUGUGCCUUGGGGGGUUGUAGAACCCUAAGAAGGCAUUAUACAAAUACAGACCAUUUACCUAAACAAGUUACUUUUGCUUUACAUUGUCCUUAUGGUGUAUAUAAUGAUUCGCUUCCAUUUUGAAUUUCUAAUAAAUAUGAAUUGUUAUUCAGCCGGGUAUACUGUGGUUAUGUCAUGGUGUUUGAAAAUAUUAUUCUGUGUGCCCCUUUUUAAAUUUGAGCACCCGCCCCUUCAAAGGUCUCUGCACAGCCCUGAUUAAUAAGAUAUAUAUUGUAGACAUGUGCAUAUGUACACAUGACUGUAAUAAGAUAUAUAUUGUAGACAUGCAUAUAUAGACAUGACUGUAAUAAGAUAUCGUAUAUUGUAAACAUGUGCAUAUAUAGAUAUAACUGUAAUAAUAAAUAUAUUGUAGACAUGCA